AUUAGCCGUAGACUGUACAGUGAUUCAUUCGACUGGAGUACGGUGAAGUAGCCUUUGUGUGUCAGUGUACCUGCGGGGUAGCCAGAAUCAGUCUGUGGAGGGUUCAGUCUUUAUGCUUGGAUUUAUCUCGAUUUCGGGGGUCUAGUUAUACUUCAUCAUGUCCAUGAUACGUGGACCGCUAGGAUCUGUGGGGUCUGGGAGCGCGGAUAAAACAGGGAGUACAACGGGAGGCACUACAACGUCAGCAUCAGCAGGGUCUGUCGGAUCCAGAUAUCGAUCAAGUUACAGACGAGAGUCGGACAAUACUGGUCUCAAACGUGAAGAAAUUGGAUACAAGAGGGAAUUAGACAAUAAGAAUAAGGAGUCAGGGGCACAGAUUAACGGGUCGAAUGGGGAUGUUAAUCCGGUUUCGUCAAUGGCACCCUCAUCAACGUCUUCGACCUACGAGCGGUCGUCGUAUGAGCGGCAGAAGUACGUUCCGUACAGCGAGCGGUAUAAUUCUAGCACCGGAUCUACACCGAGCACGACGACUAAUACAACUACAGAAUCUAAACAACAGAAUCCUCUUAGUGUCAAACGAGAACGGGAGGCCUUUUUCUCCAAGAGUGACUCGCAGUAUCAGCCCAAGUUUGACCCCCACGGCCACAAGCCGAAUGACAAACUCAAUUCAGAGAAAGAGGACAAUAUACAAAAUACGCCAAAAUUGGACAAACUUUACAAAGAAAAUACAAAUGUCGAUGGAUAUGUUGGCUUCGCUAAUCUUCCCAAUCAAGUUUACAGAAAGUCGGUAAAACGGGGAUUUGAAUUUAAUUUAAUGGUCGUAGGUGAAUCUGGCCUCGGCAAGUCAACACUGAUCAACUCUCUCUUCCUCACAGACCUUUAUAAUGCAGAACACCCAGGACCAUCCCACAGAAUAAAGAAAACUGUCGCAGUUGAGACUAAUCAGGUGCUACUAAAGGAAGGAGGAGUCUCUCUCAAGUUGACAGUGGUGGAUACGCCCGGUUUCGGUGAUGCUGUGGACAACAGCAAUUGUUGGCAGCCUGUUAUCGACUAUAUCAACAACAAAUACGAUGAAUAUCUUAACGCGGAAUCGCGCGUCUGCCGCAAGGUCAUGCCCGACACACGAAUACAUUGCUGCCUCUACUUCAUCACACCAUCAGGACACGGGUUGAAACCGCUCGACGUCGAGUUCAUGAAGCGGCUACACGACAAGGUGAACAUCAUUCCACUGAUCGCCAAGGCAGACACCCUCACACCAGACGAGUGCAGAGAAUUCAAGAAAACGAUUUUGAACGAGAUCGCUCAGCACAAGAUCAAAAUCUACGAGUUCCCCGACCUCGAUGAUGAAGAAGAGAACAAAGCACAGAAAAAGCUCAAGGAGCGUGUUCCAUUUGCCGUGGUUGGCAGCAAUGCCCUGAUCGAUGUUGGUGGAAAGAAAGUCAGAGGCCGCAUCUACCCGUGGGGUGUAGUGGAAGUGGAGAACCUUUCGCACAAUGACUUCAUCGCACUCCGAAACAUGCUCAUCAGGUCAGCGAAAACCAUGGAAGAGAAAAUAGCACGCUGCUCCAUCUGGACACACAUGCAGGACCUGAAGGAUAUGACCAACAACAUCCACUAUGAGAACUUCCGGUACAACAAGCUGGCUACCGUCACGACCCAAGAUGGCAAAGUCAAGGCCAACCCCAACACCAAAGAUCAGAAUGCAGCAGAUCUGCUCGAAGUUGAUAAGAACAACGUGGCCCUUUACGAAACUCUUAGCGCCACCAAGCGGCUGGCCAAUGUAUCGCCUCUCCUGCAGAUGGAGGAAGAGAAGAAGGAGCAUGAUAUGAAACUCAAGAAGAUGGAGGCAGAAAUGGAACAGGUGUUUGAGAUGAAGGUCAAGGAGAAACAGGACAAGCUCAAGUUGUCCGAGGCAGACCUGGGACGCCAUGCCGAACAGAUGAAGCGAACCCUCGAACAGCAAUCGCGGGAACACGAGGAGAAGCGCCAACAAUUCGAGAAGGAGCGCCUCUCGUGGGAGGAGUCGCAGAAGUUGGAGGAACAGCGCCGACGAUCGUUAGAGAAUUCUAAAGAUUCCAGAUGGGGCACCAUGGGCGGUAAUCCGAAAUCUCGUCAACGGAAGUGGUGGGAUUAGGAUGAAGGAUACGCGAAUCUCGUCAUUCUUGACCUGGCAACAAGAUGACCCUGAGGACUUGGUUCCAUUGAUGGGAAGGAUAAGCACAAGAAAGAAAAGAAGAAAGGCAUCUUUACUUAGGCGCACAGCCCCGUCAUUCAAGAAACGUGCGUCAAGAAAAUAUACGUCAAUGAAAAAGUCCGAUACGAGGUCGCUCAUUUCUUCCGAGACGAACAGCGACGGGAUGAGUUUGAAAAAAGAUGGCGACGACGAAUCUGUUAGUCGUCGCGAGGGGAGCAUCACGGACGUCUCGGAUUUGUCGGAGUUUGAUUACAUGACGACGACGGAGGACGAAGGGGUAUUGUCACCGCACAGCAGUGACGAUGAUAUGCCACGUCGCCGCGGGAAGAAGGGGAAAUGGGGGAAGUAUACAAAAGCAGAGAACAGGACAGAGCUGUGAUGUGGAGAAUUUGACUUGAACAUAUCAGGAAGACUGUUUGAAUUUGAAUCAGUUCAGCUCCGGCUGUGUAGCUGGGCCAAAAUUGGUGCCAAAUAUAAACAAUUGUAAAAUACAUCAGUAGCAGCUGUUCAUAACGAUAAGAAUAUUAGAGUUUCAUUCCAAAAAGAGUUGCUUUUCCAUAGCCAAUGCCACUAAAACAAGACGCAGUGCUUUAUUCAGUGUAAACAGUGUGCUCUGCUGUUUUAGAAUAUUGUAUAAUAGAUUGUAUAAAUCCAUGCAGUCAUGGUCGUAUAAAAAGUUUUCAAUUCUAAAAGUUUCGAUUCAUAUUUUUCUUCGGAUGUAAAUAAAAAUGUUUCGUUUGACGUCGGAAACAUCUGGUGAACAGCUGUAUUUCUCCCUGCCUUCGACAUUGUGACGAAAAUUAGCCAUGUUCUCUUGAGAAUAUUGCAAGAAGCUGUUCUGUUCUCUGCUUGGACAAUAAAUGAUUGGCUAGUCUUGACUCUCUGCCGUGUGAACCCGAGAAGAUGUCUCUCCCAAUCUUUUCUUGGGCAGCUGGGCAUGAAAUCUUUAUGUCUCAUUAACCAAAACGCUUUUCAUAUAUCAUUCAUUAUCUCUGUCGAUUGUAAAUGUACGCGCAAUGAAACUUGAUGUUGUUUGAAAUUUGCAGUGGCAAAUUUGCAUAGAGUAGUUUAAAAUUGGGAAAAUACAUUCAGAAAUGGGGUUAGUUUGAUGUUUUUGGCAAAUUUUCAUAUCACCCGAAAAGAUAGACAUCAAGAUUUCAUUGUGCUUAACCUGUCACCCCUCCAAUUCCGAAUAGACUGUCAUCACCUUGUUAUUGGUGCGGUCCAUUCUGAACUGGAAGGGAAGACAGGGUGUCAUUUGUGUAAGUAACACUAGAUGGGGAUCUUUUGGUCCUAAGUUGAUUGAGCCGUAGUCUUAAUAUAUAAUAAUUCGAAAUUGCGAUGAGAGCGUAGAUAAAAAGCAUGAUUGUAACUGUGUGUUAAAAUGUUGCCAUUUUCACUUCGAGUUGUUCAAGGGGUUCCCGUAUUUGGAAAUGUAUGCCAAAAUUGACAUGAAUUUAUGUAUUUCCUGCCAAACUCAUGUGUGGUGUUAUCAAAGAAAUACAAAAGGCACAAAAAUUGAUGUGCGAUUUGAAUAAUGUGCUUCAGUUUGGACCAAAAGUUGUUCAUUGUGAGAUAGUGAAACUGUGGUGCAUUUGGUAAAGAUUUAACUAUUAGGCAGAUGAAAUAAGUCGAGGUUGCUUAAUUUACAUUCCUUCAUUAUGUUUUGAGAAAGAUUUAUCACAAACCCAACCUGGCCAAUGAAGAUCAUGCUUAAAAACCCUACUCAUACUCAAAACAUAUUUCUCAGCCAUGCUUGCCUGUUUUUAUCAUCUAAGCCACGUCUGUCGUGAAUUUUAGUACAAUAAAACAUUCUAACUUUGCCACCCCAAAGGACAGUAAAAUGAGGUAUCCUCAGAAAGUGUUUCUAUUGUGAUGAAAGGAAUUUCGAUGCAAUAGAAAUAUUAUCCAUUUUGUCGCUUGGCAAAUGUUUCAGGGAGUAGAAAAGUAACCCAGAGGUGGCAAAAUUAGCAUGUUCUAUGCUACAGAGCUAUCUACACCAUGUAUUUAAUCUGUACUCAGUUUGAAUUCCGUAUAGCCAGGCAAACCUAUUAUCCCAGUUCGAUUUUUACUUCCAAUCAGUGGUAAUUGCUUGGCUGGAAGUGGUAGCCAAGAUUUUUUUGAACGAUGGCUAUUUGCCAUCAUUGUAGCAAAGACAUUAGUUUCGGAAUUUCAAUCUCUCUCAUUAUUUCCGCACUUAUGAACUAUGACAAAAGUAGCGUAGAAAAUGGAAGAAAUCAUCAGAGUAACAUCAGGGAGUAUUUCUACUAAGGUGUUUUCUAAACUGAAGACGGCCAACGCCAACUUUAAUUGACUGGACUAUCGACUACAAGAUGACUGGACUAAUUAAGACACAGACACAGAUGUCUCUACAUUCAGACACGGAUGUCUUUAUAACUGCCAUUCACACUGUAUAUAUUAGAUUCAGUAGUAUUUUCUGUAGAACGUUAAUUCAUCAAAUAAUACUUGUAACGUGUUGCGGUAGAUUAAUUAAUAUAUGGCGAGGUUCGAGGCGAGUGCCUUGCAUUUUGCUCACAAUGAAAGUGCAUUAAUGAAAUUGUCGGUUUUAACUUAUUCGCGUGAUGUUGUGCAUAUUUUGUAAAAUUUGCAGACAAAUUCGUAGAUUUCUUUGUCGACUGCCUGGCUGGAAAUGGGGUCGUGUAUGUAGUUGUGAAAAACGUGGUAUCGUAACUAUUAAUGACGAGUAUAAUUUCUCAUAGAGUAAACUAAUAUCCUACAAUUUUUCUAGAACUGUACGUAUUAGUGUGAAGUUGUUCUAGACUGUUUUUGGAAGCUGUAUAAACAGUUAAUGGUUUAAAAUUAUGACAUUUUUUACCGAUGAUGACUAGUUUGAUUUCAAUCAGUUAUGUGGUGGACAAUGUUGCUUACAUGUUAAUGUCAUUAUGACUAGAUAUUUGUACUUUUUGGUGUACAUCCAGCAGAUAAUCUUAAAAUUACGUAAAUCCUUCAAAGCGUUAUUCUUUCCCAAACUUCUCAUUUGUCUAAGUUGACACCUAUCUUGCUCUUGGAAGUUGCAGAGGGUAGAGGGUACCAAGUGAUCAGCCCAAUCAGAGGCUUGAGAAAAUGAGCCUUCCGACAUGUACCUACUGAAGGUGGGGUGACACUGACCCGGAGCGGGGUGACACUGACCCGGAGCGGGGUGACACUGACCCAGAGCGGGGUGACACUGACCCAGAGCGGGGUGAAAGUGUCCCAAUACAUUUUCCACCCUUCAGCCUGAGCCAUACAAUGUAGAUGGUAAAUCUUCUGUUCCAACUGAAUCGCUGUACAAAGUCAUGUCAAAGAUAACCCAGCUUAUCAUAGUUUAGCACAAAUGAGAUUUUGAGACCUGGGGCGAUUUCAACCCACUGGGCCUAUUCACCCCACUUAGCGGUACCCUGUAUCAAAACGUAGGGUUGGAAACAUGAAGCAUUAGAAUAUCUAAGAUAGUGAACCCAACCUCGAAGAUUAUACAUCGACUCCACCAACCUAACAAAUCUCGAUAUGUGCACCAGGGAAUACGUUUUUUUCGCUGCCUUGUAUGUCUUAUGUACUAAAUUACGCUGUAAACAUCGCUUUGUAAUUGUAGGGUCUUCUUGAUCAUCUCAUAGUCUGUUCCAUGACAUUCAUGUAUUCAGUAGUCAUGUAAAGUAAAGGGACCCAGCCUAUCACAUUGCAAGUUAUGAUUUUGAAGAACCAAUUUGGUAGGCCUACAUAAUUCUGUGCAAUGAAAUUUUUCCAGCACAUUUUUUUUUAUCACUGUGUUACGACGAAAUAAAUAUUUCAGGGCAGAGUCAGAAUAGGACAAAAGGUCACAUUCUUAUUUGAAGCAAUAUGCUGCGUGGAUUAAUUGAUUGUAAACAUUUUCAACAACGUGAAAGACCCCUAUGUUGUCCCUUAAAAUUCUCUUGCUUUUAGUCGUAAGAAUUAGUUCUGCAUCAUUCUGUAAAUGUGUUCAAAUGUACGAGGUCCCAAAUCAAACAGCUUAUGUACAGCCAAUAGCCUGUAUGAAGUUUUUAUAUACAGAAUAAAGUCCAAAUUUAAUGGA